GGGCGUUAUCAGCCAGCAUUUUUACUUUCCUAAUGCCUGCAAAGCUCUCUACAAAGAUGAGUAAGUCCUGGCCCUGAGGAAUGUCUGUGCAGGUUUUCUUCAUUUUUGUUUCCUAUUCUUUGCUGACAUGAAGAAUGAGAGGCGAUAUGUGGAGCGUUAGAGCAGGUGCUGUAAUGUCCUGUGAUGCUGGAGCCCUGUUCUGGACCAAACACUAACUAUUCAGAAGCAAAUGGAGACCAUCGGAGAGAACCACAACUGGACACAAUGCAGAGAUAACAGUGAAGAGCCCAGCCGCAACAGACACAUCCACAUAUAGCUCCUGCAUCUAUGGCUCAGGGCACAUCACAAAAGAGAGGUCUAAAAGAUCAGAAGAGUCAAAAGAACCACAAAGUCUUCCGUGAAACAGUAUCCUAGAGUGGCAGCAUAAAGAAGACUAG